GGCCGUGUGGCGAAAUGGCAUCGCGCUUGACUACGAAUCAAGAGAUUCCAGGUUCGACCCCUGGUACGGUCA